rnacentral:rRNA from 1 species
AUUGAACGCUGGCGGCAUGCCUUACACAUGCAAGUCGAACGGCAGCACGGGUGCUUGCACCUGGUGGCGAGUGGCGAACGGGUGAGUAAUAUAUCGGAACGUACCUUAUUGUGGGGGAUAACGCAGCGAAAGCUGUGCUAAUACCGCAUAAUCCCUAAGGGGGAAAGCGGGGGACCGUAAGGCCUCGCGCCAUUAGAGCGGCCGAUACCUGAUUAGCUAGUUGGGGAGGUAAAGGCUCACCAAGGCAACGAUCAGUAGCUGGUCUGAGAGGACGAUCAGCCACACUGGGACGGAGACACGGCCCAGACUCCGACGGGAGGCAGCAGUGGGGAAUUUUGGACAAUGGGGGCAACCCUGAUCCAGCAAUGCCGCGUGAGUGAAGCAGGCCUUCGGGUUGUAAAGCUCUUUUGUCAGGGAAGAAACAGCAGCUCUAACACAGUUUGCGAAUGACGGUACCUGAAGAAUAAGCACCGGCUAACUACGUGCCAGCCGCCGCAGUAA